GGCUGGUCCGAAGGUGGUGAGCAAACACAAUUUUAGUCCGUUAUGGAUCGGGCUCCUCAUUCUAUUCUUCGCCCCCUUCUCACUACUGCAUUUGGCUCAUCUUAA
ensembl:Y_RNA Y_RNA Y RNA